GAACUGCGAUAAGUAAUGUGAAUUGCAGAAUUCAGUGAAUCAUCGAGUCUUUGAACGCACAUUGCGCCCCCUGGCGUUCCGGGGGGCAUGCCUGUCCGAGCGUCAUUGCUGCCCUUCAAGCCCGGCUUGUGUGUUGGGUCGUCGUCCCCCUCGGGGGACGGGCCCGAAAGGCAGCGGCGGCACCGUGUCCGGUCCUCGAGCGUAUGGGGCUUUGUCACCCGCUCGAUUAGGGCCGGCCGGGCGCCAGCCGGCGUCUCCAACCUUAUUUUUCUCAGGUUGACCUCGGAUCAGGUAGGGAUACCCGCUGAACUUAAGC
rnacentral:misc_RNA from 1 species